UGAAGGAGAUGGGGAUGCCACUGACAAUUCGCCAGCGUCGUCGCUUUCCCAACAAUUUAGCAAUUAUCCUUCCGGAUAACUACGAGGAAUCAUUGCCAC
rnacentral:sRNA from 1 species